GACGAACGCUGGCGGCGUGCUUAACACAUGCAAGUCGAACGGAAAGGCCCUGCUUUUGUGGGGUGCUCGAGUGGCGAACGGGUGAGUAACACGUGAGUAACCUGCCCUUGACUUUGGGAUAACUUCAGGAAACUGGGGCUAAUACCGGAUAGGAGCUCCUGCUGCAUGGUGGGGGUUGGAAAGUUUCGGCGGUUGGGGAUGGACUCGCGGCUUAUCAGCUUGUUGGUGGGGUAGUGGCUCACCAAGGCUUUGACGGGUAGCCGGCCUGAGAGGGUGGCCGGCCACAUUGGGACUGAGAUACGGCCCAGACUCCUACGGGAGGCAGCAGUGGGGAAUAUUGCACAAUGGGCGGAAGCCUGAUGCAGCAACGCCGCGUGCGGGAUGACGGCCUUCGGGUUGUAAACCGCUUUCGCCUGUGACGAAGCGUGAGUGACGGUAAUGGGUAAAGAAGCACCGGCUAACUACGU
rnacentral:rRNA from 1 species